rnacentral:rRNA from 1 species
UACGUAGGGGGCAAGCGUUGUCCGGAUUUAUUGGGCGUAAAGAGCGUGUAGGCGGCUAGAUAGGUCCGUUGUGAAAACUCGAGGCUCAACCUCGAGACGUCGGCGGAAACCAUCUGGCUAGAGUCCGGAAGAGGAGAGUGGAAUUCCUGGUGUAGCGGUGAAAUGCGCAGAUAUCAGGAGGAACACCGGUGGCGAAGGCGGGUCUCUGGGCCGAUACUGACGCUGAGGAGCGAAAGCGUGGGGAGCGAACAGG